rnacentral:rRNA from 1 species
UAGGGGUUCUGAGAGGAAGGUCCCCCACAUUGGUACUGAGACACGGACCAAACUCCUACGGGAGGCAGCAGUGAGGAAUAUUGGUCAAUGGGCGUAAGCCUGAACCAGCCAAGUCGCGUGAGGGAUGAAGGUUCUAUGGAUCGUAAACCUCUUUUAUAAGGGAAUAAAGUGUGGGACGUGUCCUAUUUUGUAUGUACCUUAUGAAUAAGGAUCGGCUAACUCCGUGCCAGCAGCCGCGGUAAUACGGAGGAUCCGAGCGUUAUCCGGAUUUAUUGGGUUUAAAGGGUGCGUAGGCGGCCUUUUAAGUCAGCGGUGAAAGUCUGUGGCUCAACCAUAGAAUUGCCGUUGAAACUGGGGGGCUUGAGUAUGUUUGAGGCAGGCGGAAUGCGUGGUGUAGCGGUGAAAUGCUUAGAUAUCACGCAGAACCCCGAUUGCGAAGGCAGCCUGCCAAGCCAUGACUGACGCUGAUGCACGAAAGCGUGGGGAUCAAACAGGAUUAGAUACCCUGGUAGUCCACGCAGUAAACGAUGAUCACUAGCUGUUUGCGAUACAGUGUAA